UACGUAGGUGGCAAGCGUUAUCCGGAAUUAUUGGGCGUAAAGCGCGCGCAGGUGGUUCUUUAAGUCUGAUGUGAAAGCCCACGGCUCAACCGUGGAGGGUCAUUGGAAACUGGGGGACUUGAGUACAGAAGAGAAGAGUGGAAUUCCACGUGUAGCGGUGAAAUGCGUAGAGAUGUGGAGGAACACCAGUGGCGAAGGCGACUCUUUGGUCUGUAACUGACGCUGAGGCGCGAAAGCGUGGGGAGCAAACAGG
rnacentral:rRNA from 1 species